GCUUUCUCAGAAAUUUCUGUUAGGUAGCAAAUAACUUAGAUUUAGAUAUAGCAAAUGGAAAAUUAUAUUUUGGCAUGUGGUAGGAAAAUACUGUGUAGUUUGAAAUUUUAUCAUAAACUUUCCAUCAUUUAAUCCUAAAGAGAUAAUAACUUUUGAAACUAAAGAUGACCAAAAGUGGUAGAAUUUAUUACAAAUAAAUGCUUAAUAAAAUUGCUUAUAUCUUUCCAUGUCAUACCCUUUAGAUUAAGCGAAGAUAUUAGCAAGAGAAGUGUUGUAAACCUUUAUCCCAUGGAAUCAGCAGAAGCCUUAGAAUUACAAGAUUCUACACUGAAUGGUCAGAUUCAGCUGGAGACAUCGCCAGGGUGUGAGGUAAGGGUGCUCUCAGACUAGCCAGGGCCU
rnacentral:lncRNA from 1 species